rnacentral:lncRNA from 1 species
AAAAGUCUUACUAUUUUUCCUCUAUAAAUUCUAUUCUUUGUAAGAAAUACAGGCCCAUUCUGAAAACAUGCUUUAUAACUCCUCACAAGUGAUCUCAAGUCAUUGCUAAAAUGAAGUGGAAGCUCACAUUUCAUGAGGUAGACUUGUUUUGAUAGUAGACUCUUGGAUUAUAUGCUCCUUACAGCCUUUUGUAUUAGCCUGGGGAGAGGAUGAUAAACAAGUGUAUGACCCAUUGUAACCACAGAGAAGAAACCAUCUUUCUCAUAUGCUGACUAUGUCCCAACCCUGAUGCCUUGCGUGUAUUCUAGCUUGUACUUCCCCACUUCCGGACUAACCAAUGAUUAUUUUUACUUAUUUACGACAGCUUUUCACCAAAAGGAAUUUGAGGCAGCUUGCAAAAUUGAUUAAUAGGAUUGGAAAACAGACUUCAGAGCCAAACUCGGAUUUUAUCUGGAAGAAAGUUUCACCACAGCUGGCAUUUUGCAUGCAUUGUUUGAAGAAGAAUGUAAUGAUUUAAUCUGUUCUGAGUUCUUUUGAUGUUUGGAUGGAAUCUGGAAGAAUAGUUCCCAAAGAUAUGAUUUUUAGUACUGGCACGGUGAAUAUAAAGCCAUUUAAUCAGACGAUACUUAAUAGUCAGAAUCAGCCGGCAUUGUGACAAUCAAAAGUGGAACUCCAGCGUUCCAAGGAUCCUCACUUAGCUAGUCUCUAAGGCAGUGGUUCUCUAUUGUUAGUAUUCUUCAGAAUCACCUGAAGGGCUUGUUGAGACAAGACUUCUGAUUCAGUAGGUUUAGGCAGGAGGACUUAAAAACAGCAUAAAUAUCCUAGAGGAGAACAUAGGCAAAACACUCUCCGACAUAAACCACAGCAAGAUCCUCUAUGACCCACCUCCCAGAAUAUUGGAAAUAAAAGCAA